rnacentral:rRNA from 1 species
AAAUUGAAGAGUUUGAUCAUGGCUCAGAUUGAACGCUGGCGGCAGGCCUAACACAUGCAAGUCGAACGGUAACAGGAAGCAGCUUGCUGCUUCGCUGACGAGUGGCGGACGGGUGAGUAAUGUCUGGGAAACUGCCUGAUGGAGGGGGAUAACUACUGGAAACGGUGGCUAAUACCGCAUAACGUCGCAAGACCAAAGAGGGGGACCUUCGGGCCUCUUGCCAUCAGAUGUGCCCAGAUGGGAUUAGCUAGUUGGUGAGGUAACGGCUCACCAAGGCGACGAUCCCUAGCUGGUCUGAGAGGAUGACCAGCCACACUGGAACUGAGACACGGUCCAGACUCCUACGGGAGGCAGCAGUGGGGAAUAUUGCACAAUGGGCGCAAGCCUGAUGCAGCCAUGCCGCGUGUAUGAAGAAGGCCUUCGGGUUGUAAAGUACUUUCAGCGGGGAGGAAGGUGUUGUGGUUAAUAACCGCAGCAAUUGACGUUACCCGCAGAAGAAGCACCGGCUAACUCCGUGCCAGCAGCCGCGGUAAUACGGAGGGUGCAAGCGUUAAUCGGAAUUACUGGGCGUAAAGCGCACGCAGGCGGUCUGUCAAGUCGGAUGUGAAAUCCCGGGCUCAACCUGGGAACUGCAUUCGAAACUGGCAGGCUUGAGUCUUGUAGAGGGGGUAGAAUUCCAGGUGUAGCGGUGAAAUGCGUAGAGAUCUGGAGGAAUACCGGUGGCGAAGGCGGCCCCUGGACAAAGACUGACGCUCAGGUGCGAAAGCGUGGGAGCAAACAGGAUUAGAUACCCUGGUAGUCCACGCCGUAAACGAUGUCUACUUGGAGGUUGUGCCCUUGAGGCGUGGCUUCCGGAGCUAACGCGUUAAGUAGACCGCCUGGGGAGUACGGCCGCAAGGUUAAAACUCAAAUGAAUUGACGGGGCCCGCACAAGCGGUGGAGCAUGUGGUUUAAUUCGAUGCAACGCGAAGAACCUUACCUGGUCUUGACAUCCACAGAACUUUCCAGAGAUGGAUUGGUGCCUUCGGGAACUGUGAGACAGGUGCUGCAUGGCUGUCGUCAGCUCGUGUUGUGAAAUGUUGGGUUAAGUCCCGCAACGAGCGCAACCCUUAUCCUUUGUUGCCAGCGAUUAGGUCGGGAACUCAAAGGAGACUGCCAGUGAUAAACUGGAGGAAGGUGGGGAUGACGUCAAGUCAUCAUGGCCCUUACGACCAGGGCUACACACGUGCUACAAUGGCGCAUACAAAGAGAAGCGACCUCGCGAGAGCAAGCGGACCUCAUAAAGUGCGUCGUAGUCCGGAUUGGAGUCUGCAACUCGACUCCAUGAAGUCGGAAUCGCUAGUAAUCGUGGAUCAGAAUGCCACGGUGAAUACGUUCCCGGGCCUUGUACACACCGCCCGUCACACCAUGGGAGUGGGUUGCAAAAGAAGUAGGUAGCUUAACCUUCGGGAGGGCGCUUACCACUUUGUGAUUCAUGACUGGGGUGAAGUCGUAACAAGGUAACCGUAGGGGAACCUGCGGUUGGAUCACCUCCUUA